CCCUGUUUCUCUUAAUUCUUGGACCAUUGCUCGAAUGGAGUAUGUGCAACCUUUACCCUUUUUUCACCAAACUUUUUUUUUCUUUAAAAGUCAAAGGUUUCAACAGUCAGCAUAAGCACAAACAAUCAAUGAGAGAAUUCAAUAACGCUAAUCAUGCAAUUAAUUGUUUACAAGAAACUCCACUUCUGCAGUCGUAAUCCACCUUUAAUCCAAAGGGUACCCAGCUUUCUACCACUCCCUUGCUCCUACUAAGACUAAAGAAGCUGUCAUCCUUAUCCAGAAGGAUUGGGCAUUUAUACAUACUUUGUAAUAUUCAGACAAUGCUAGUAGACUACUAACCC